rnacentral:rRNA from 1 species
GACGAACGCUGGCGGCGUGCUUAACACAUGCAAGUCGAACGGAAAGGCCCUGCUUUUGUGGGGUGCUCGAGUGGCGAACGGGUGAGUAACACGUGAGUAACCUGCCCUUGACUUUGGGAUAACUUCAGGAAACUGGGGCUAAUACCGGCUAGGAGCUCCUGCUGCAUGGGGGGGGUUGGAAAGUUUCGGCGGUUGGGGAUGGACGCGCGGCUUAUCAGCUUGUUGGUGGGGUAGUGGCUUACCAAGGCUUUGACGGGUAGCCGGCCUGAGUGGGUGACCGGCCACAUUGGGACUGAGGUACGGCGCAGUCUCCUACGUGGGGCAGCAGUGGGGAACAUUGCACAAUGGGCGGAAGCCUGAUGCAGCAACGCCGCGUGCGGGAUGACGGCCUUCGGGUUGUAAACCGCUUUCGCCUGUGACGAAGCGUGAGUGACGGUAAUGGGUAAAGAAGCACCGGCUAACUACGUG